ACAGCGGGAGCGAGCCCAGACAGCUUCUAGGAGCAGGAGGAGUUGGUCUCUGUUUUUAACUGUUGUACUCCUGUGGCAAUUAUUGUCCAGAUAACAUAGCUGUCAUCUUUUUGGAUGAGGCCUGGCAUUUCCUUAAGUGGGCACAUUGCAAUAGACUUGUCCGUGAAACGCGGCCAUCCGGAGUCAGGCAGAGCUGUCUAGCUGGCGGAGACUUAAUAGUUUUUUCAGAACUGUGCCGGUCUCACAUUGGGUCAGUGCAGACCCCAUUACGAGAAGAGUUCCCCAACCAAAAGCUGGGAGAGCUUAUACGUGCCCAGCCCUUUUGUGGUGCACAGAUGGAGAGGACCAGCUCUGCCCUCAAGCAGGUGCCUACCUGGCUGGCCAUCUUGCAGCAACUUAAGAGGUCUUUACCUUAGGACCACACGUGUAUCACCUUGCUCGGUCACCUCCUAUUACAGAAGGUGUCGACUCAGAGACUCUGGUCCUGGGUCCCACAGUCCCCCUGGCCACUGGA